GAUGAACGCUGGCGGCGUGCCUAAUACAUGCAAGUCGAGCGAACGGACGAGAAGCUUGCUUAUCUGAUGUUAGCGGCGGACGGGUGAGUAACACGUGGAUAACCUACCUAUAAGACUGGGAUAACUUCGGGAAACCGUAGCUAAUACCGGAUAAUAUUUUGAACCGCAUGGUUCAAAAGUGAAAGACGGUCUUGCUGUCACUUAUAGAUGGAUCCGCGCUGCAUUAGCUAGUUGGUAAGGUAACGGCUUACCAAGGCAACGAUGCAUAGCCGACCUGAGAGGGUGAUCGGCCACACUGGAACUGAGACACGGUCCAGACUCCUACGGGAGGCAGCAGUAGGGAAUCUUCCGCAAUGGGCGAAAGCCUGACGGAGCAACGCCGCGUGAGUGAUGAAGGUCUUCGGAUCGUAAAACUCUGUUAUUAGGGAAGAACAUAUGUGUAAGUAACUGUGCACAUCUUGACGGUACCUAAUCAGAAAGCCACGGCUAACUACGUG
rnacentral:rRNA from 1 species